UACGUAGGGUGCAAGCGUUGUCCGGAAUUAUUGGGCGUAAAGAGCUCGUAGGCGGUUUGUCGCGUCUGCUGUGAAAACUCGGGGCUUAACUCCGGGCCUGCAGUGGGUACGGGCAGACUAGAGUGCGGUAGGGGAGACUGGAAUUCCUGGUGUAGCGGUGAAAUGCGCAGAUAUCAGGAGGAACACCGGUGGUGUAGACGGCUUUCUGGACCGUAACUGACGCUGAGACACGAAAGCGUGGGUAGCAAACAGG
rnacentral:rRNA from 1 species